UACGGGGGGAGCAAGCGUUGUUCGGAUUUACUGGGCGUAAGGGCGCGUAGGCGGCCAGCACAAGUCAGUUGUGAAAUCUCCGGGCUUAACUCGGAAAGGUCAACUGAUACUGUGCGGCUAGAGUGCAGAAGGGGCAACUGGAAUUCUCGGUGUAGCGGUGAAAUGCGUAGAUAUCGAGAGGAACACCUGCGGCGAAGGCGGGUUGCUGGGCUGACACUGACGCUGAUGCGCGAAAGCCAGGGGAGCGAACGGG
rnacentral:rRNA from 1 species